AAAGUGCGAAAAGUGUCAUGACUUGCAGAUUCCCGAGAGCUGACAAAUCUCUGAAUGCAAAUGGCAGCUGAAUAGACACAGCUAUGUGUUGUAGAGUGUAGAUGCUCCAGCUAAUCAUCAUUCUUGUUGCUUCAACGAGCGACGAAUGGAUCUGCACUUGCGAACCGCGAGUGUCAAAUGGAAAGGUCUGUGUUUGGACGCGUUCUCUCGCGUCCUCUCACAAGCACCGAUGGAUUCUGUACCCCAGAGUAUAUCGAGUGUGAAUAAUGACCCCCCCUUACUCUAUCUUUAUGAGCCACAUCUACAACGCAUGACAACCCGCUGAACUUAA
rnacentral:misc_RNA from 1 species